GACGAACGCUGGCGGCGUGCUUAACACAUGCAAGUCGAACGGAAAGGCCCUGCUUUUGUGGGGUGCUCGAGUGGCGAACGGGUGAGUAACACGUGAGUAACCUGCCCUUGACUUUGGGAUAACUUCAGGAAACUGGGGCUAAUACCGGAUAGGAGCUCCUGCUGCAUGGUGGGGGUUGGAAAGUUUCGGCGGUUGGGGAUGGACUCGCGGCUUAUCAGCUUGUUGGUGGGGUAGUGGCUUACCAAGGCUUUGACGGGUAGCCGGCCUGGGAGGGUGACCGGCCACAUUGGGACUGGGAUACGGCCCAGACUCCUACGGGAGGCAGCAGUGGGGAAUAUUGCACAAUGGGCGGAAGCCUGAUGCAGCAACGCCGCGUGCGGGAGGACGGCCUUCGGGUUGUAAACCGCUUUCGCCUGUGACGAAGCGUGAGUGACGGUAAUGGGUAAAGAAGCACCGGCUAACUACGU
rnacentral:rRNA from 1 species